rnacentral:tRNA from 1 species
GCGAAUGUGAUGUAACGGCAGCAUGAGACGCUUCCAACGUCUUCGUACUGGUUCAAAUCCUGUCAUUCGCU